rnacentral:snRNA from 1 species
GUGCUCACUUCGGCGUAUACAACUGGAAUGAUGCAAAGAUUAGCACGGCCCCUGUGCAAGGACGACACGCAAAUUUGUGAAGCGUUCCACAGUUGU